GACGGAAGGUGCAAGCGUUGCUCGGAAUCACUGGGCGUAAAGGGUGCGUAGGCGGCUUGGUAAGUUGGGUGUGAAAGCCCCGGGCUCAGCCCGGGAAGGGCACUCGAAACUGCCGAGCUGGAGUGGCGGAGGGGAGAGUGGAAUUCCUGGUGUAGCGGUGAAAUGCGUAGAUAUCAGGAGGAAUACCGGUGGCGAAAGCGACUCUCUGGACGGCAACUGACGCUGAGGCACGAAAGCGUGGGGAGCAAACAGG
rnacentral:rRNA from 1 species